GUUUUGUCAUGUAUAAAUAGGGGCAUACAUUCUCAGGAUGAAAAUAUAAUUGUAGAUUAUACUAGUUUUAGUGUAACUAUAAUCUUAAUUUUAUUAAUGACAGGAGGCUUCAUAUUUGCGUAAGUCUCAAUUUACUAGAACUCCACAGCAGCACAUUAACAUAGAGAGAAAACCAUUAAAAAAAAAGUAAGGAAAACAUAAAAGGCAACGCCCAACUAUCUAUUUCCUCUUUCAAGCUGCGACAAAACAAAGUACAUGAAUGAAAUAUAACUCAAUAGUAAUGGAGGAAGAAACAAACGAAACCAGCCGAUGACUGUCAUCUGAAACUCAAAACGAAUGUGGAUCAGUAGAUGAUGCCUUGAACGUUAUACGGAAGAAUAUCUGGAACCUGAACGUGUAGACGAACCAUUAAACUGAAACGAGACAAACAGAGUCGAAAACUCUGAUUAGUGAAUGAAGUGUACUGUGAAAAACAUGAGUACCCAUAAUCAACUACUGACCGUACAACAUCCCAGAAAACACACUCUGACUUCCCCAAAAUCAACAAUUAUCUGACCCAUCUACCACAGUCCUGGAUAACAGACUAAUACAAAAUAGGUCAAUAAAAACAAAUAAGAGGAGGGUGAAACUGGGAGGGAAAUAUUCGCCUACUGUCAUUAAUAAAAUAAAGAUUAUAGUUACACUAAAGCUAGUAUAAUCUACAAUUUUAUAACUUGACAGGAGGCUUCAUAUUUGUAUAACAUGACAGGAGGCUUCAUAUUUUCUGUUUUAAUGCUCCGACAGCAAAGCAAAUGAAGCAUGAUCCGAUGGUCUAAAGUGAAAUUGGCGAAAGGUAUCCUCGUGAGACCAGUCAGCUGAAUGCAUGAUGUCCUGAAGGGAAGCACCCGCCAGGAAGGCUCCAGAAGCCGCCGCGCCUCUAACCGAAUGCGCCGAAUUCACCCUCGCCAAAGCCAAUAACCAUUUAAUCCAACGCGCCAGAGUAGGGGACGAGACCCGUUUGCGAGGUCUGAAAUAAGAAUUCAACAACUGAUCGGAAUGAGCAGACCGAAAAGGAGCAGUUACCGCCACAUAACGAGACAGGGUAGUCGCUACACAGAGCUUAGGCGAGUUGCGAAAAUAUGGAUUAAAAAAAUGAAUCUGACUUAGUACGCCUAGACACCCUGAAAGUGACCCCUUCCGGAGAGAAAGAAAAAGCGUUGACAUCGAAGGCUCGGACAUCAGAAACACAUCUGAAAGAAAUAAGGCAUAGUAAGAGGGCAAACUUAGCCAAAAGUUGAUUAUCAGGCCAAUCCUGGAGAAACGACAAAAUCGCGCGGAUGUCCCAGAGGGAGGAAUACUUAGGCAGAGGCAGUCUCGACAGUCUCAUACCGCGAAGAAGUCUGCAGACCAACGGAUCCUGACCAAUGGGCAAGCCCCUAAGCUGUACAUGGGCCGCCGAAAUUGCCGAUCUCGCCACAUUAACCAAACGAUACGAUCGACCCUGGUCAAACAGGUGGGACAGAAAGUUCAACACGCUGGUUAGAGGGCCCAUAAAGGGAUUGGUAUCCCGUUCCAGACACCAACAACACCAGGAGCCCCAUGCUGAUAAAUAACAUCUCCUAGUCCCAAGGUCCCGUGAGUCCUAGAGAAGUUCCUUAGCCGACUGCGAUAACGUCUUGAAAUUCCAGGCUCCCCUGAAAGAGUCCAGGCCACCAAGAGCAUGUGAAAGCCACCUCUGAAGGAAAGUGUCCACCGUUGAGCAUGCUGGAUCCGGGGAGCCAGCUGAAGUAGGUCGUGGGGAAAGGUAGGAAUGGCCAGAGUUACUCUAACCUGAAGAGAAUCUUGCACGUCCUCUGUCACAAUUUCCUCUACCUCUGUCCGACCUCUGAGAGUAGAAAGGCCGGGCCUGGUAGGACGGGAAGAAUGAUGGUCCACGGAAUCCCCAGCUGUCGUCCUUGUGUAGUUCUUUUAUGAACGGUUCCCUGAACAGGAGCCCUUUAACCAAGAGUCCCAAUUCAUUCGACCCCAAAUCCGAUAAUUUGUUGUCCAUUCUUAAAAGAACCGUCUUUCUGUGUUCCGUGGAGAGCGCC